UACAGAGGGUGCAAGCGUUAAUCGGAAUUACUGGGCGUAAAGCGUGCGUAGACGGUUACAUAAGUCGGGUGUGAAAGCCCCGGGCUCAACCUGGGAAUUGCAUUCGAGACUGCGUAGCUAGGGUGCGGAAGAGGGAAGCGGAAUUUCCGGUGUAGCGGUGAAAUGCGUAGAUAUCGGAAGGAACACCGGUGGCGAAAGCGGCGCGCUGGAUCCCUACUGACGCUGAGGCACGAAAGCCAGGGGAGCAAACGGG
rnacentral:rRNA from 1 species